GGAAUUCCUGGCAGAGUGAUUUUUUUUAAACUAGAGGACUGAAUCACAUUGCCAGGGAUUUCCA
ensembl:miRNA